AGUGAACGCUGGCGGUAGGCCUAACACAUGCAAGUCGAACGGCAGCACAGUAAGAGCUUGCUCUUACGGGUGGCGAGUGGCGGACGGGUGAGGAGUACAUCGGAAUCUACUUUUUCGUGGGGGAUAACGUAGGGAAACUUACGCUAAUACCGCAUACGACCUACGGGUGAAAGCAGGGGAUCUUCGGACCUUGCGCGAUUGAAUGAGCCGAUGUCGGAUUAGCCAGUUGGCGGGGUAAAGGCCCACCAAGGCGACGAUCCGUAGCUGGUCUGAGAGGAUGAUCAGCCACACUGGAACUGAGACACGGUCCAGACUCCUACGGGAGGCAGCAGUGGGGAAUAUUGGACAAUGGGCGCAAGCCUGAUCCAGCCAUACCGCGUGGGUGAAGAAGGCCUUCGGGUUGUAAAGCCCUUUUGUUGGGAAAGAAAAGCAGCAGGUUAAUACCCCGCUGUUCUGACGGUACCCAAAGAAUAAGCACCGGCUAACUUCGUG
rnacentral:rRNA from 1 species